UACGGAGGAUGCAAGCGUUAUCCGGAUUUAUUGGGUUUAAAGGGUUCGUAGGCGGGAAUAUAAGUCAGUGGUGAAAGCCUGCAGCUCAACUGUAGAAUUGCCAUUGAUACUGUAUUUCUUGAAUAUAUACGAAGUAGGCGGAAUGCGUCAUGUAGCGGUGAAAUGCACAGAUAUGACGCAGAACACCGAUAGCGAAGGCA
rnacentral:rRNA from 1 species